rnacentral:rRNA from 1 species
UACGUAGGGCGCAAGCGUUGUCCGGAAUUAUUGGGCGUAAAGAGCUCGUAGGCGGUUUGUCGCGUCUGCUGUGAAACUCGAGGCUUAACCUCGAGAUGUCAUCGGAAACCAUCUGGCUAGAGUCCGGAAGAGGAGAGUGGAAUUCCGUGGUGUAGCGGUGAAAUGCGCAGAUAUCAGGAAGAACACCAAUGGCGAAAGCAGCUCUCUGGGACGGUACUGACGCUGAGACGCGAAAGCGUGGGAGCGAACAGG